GAUGAACGCUGGCGGCGUGCCUAAUACAUGCAAGUCGAGCGAACGGACGCGACGCUUGCUUUUCUGAUGUUAGCGGCGGACGUGUGAGUAACACGUGGAUAACCUACCUGUCAGUCUGGGAUCACUUCGGGACACCGGCGCUAAUACCGGAUAAUAUUUUGAACCGUAUGGUUCAAAAGUGAAAGACGGUCUUGCUGUCACUUAUCGAUGGAUCCGCGCUGCAUUAGCUAGUUGGUAAGGUAACGGCUUACCAAGGCAACGAUGCAUAGCCGACCUGAGAGAGUGGUAGGCCACACGGGAACUGAGACACGGUCCAGACUCCUACGGGAGGCAGCAGAAUGGAAUCUUCCGCAAUGGUCGAAAGCCUGACGGAGCAACGCCACGUGAGUGAUGAAGGUCUUCGGAUCGUAAAACUCUGUUAUUAGGGAAGAACAUAUGUGUAAGUAACUGUGCACAGCUUGACGGUACCUAGUCAGAAAGCCACGGCUAACUACGUG
rnacentral:rRNA from 1 species